GGCAACUGUGGCUUAGUGGGAAGAGUAAUUGUCUAGCAAUCCAAAAGUUGUGGGUUCGAUUCCAGCUUCCUUUUGCCA